rnacentral:rRNA from 1 species
UACGGAGGGUGCAAGCGUUGUUCGGAAUCACUGGGCGUAAAGGGCGUGUAGGCGGCCCGCUAAGUCUGAUGUGAAAUCCCCUCGCUCAACGAGGGAACUGCGUCGGAAACUGGCGGACUCGAGUACCGGAGAGGAAGGUGGAAUUCCCGGUGUAGCGGUGAAAUGACGUAGAUAUCGGGAGGAACACCGGUGGCGAAGGCGGCCUUCUGGACGGAUACUGACGCUGAGGCACGAAAGCGUGGGGAGCAAACAGG